rnacentral:rRNA from 1 species
CUCCAGACUCCUACGGGAGGCAGCAGUGGGGAAUAUUGCACAAUGGGGGAAACCCUGAUGCAGCGACGCCGCGUGAGCGAUGAAGUAUUUCGGUAUGUAAAGCUCUAUCAGCAGGGAAGAAAAUGACGGUACCUGACUAAGAAGCCCCGGCUAACUACGUGCCAGCAGCCGCGGUAAUACGUAGGGGGCAAGCGUUAUCCGGAUUUACUGGGUGUAAAGGGAGCGUAGACGGCAAUGCAAGCCAGAUGUGAAAGCCCGGGGCUCAACCCCGGGACUGCAUUUGGAACUGUGUAGCUGGAGUGUCGGAGAGGCAGGCGGAAUUCCUAGUGUAGCGGUGAAAUGCGUAGAUAUUAGGAGGAACACCAGUGGCGAAGGCGGCCUGCUGGACGAUGACUGACGUUGAGGCUCGAAAGCGUGGGGAGCAAACAGGAUUAGAUACCCCAGUA